rnacentral:rRNA from 1 species
UCGAGAAUUUUUCUCAAUGGGCGAAAGCCUGAAGGAGCGACGCCGCGUGGGGGAUGAAUGGCUUCGGCCCGUAAACCCCUGUCAUUUGCGAACAAACCUCGUUAUUUAAAAGAUGACGAGCUGAUUGUAGCGAAAGAGGAAGGGACGGCUAACUCUGUGCCAGCAGCCGCGGUAAUACAGAGGUCCCAAGCGUUGUUCGGAUUUACUGGGCGUAAAGGGUGCGUAGGUGGUGAGGUAAGUCUAAUGUGAAAUCUCCGAGCUUAACUCGGAAACUGCAUCGGAUACUAUCUCGCUCGAGGGUUGGAGGGGAGACUGGAAUACUUGGUGUAGCAGUGAAAUGCGUAGAUAUCAAGUGGAACACCAGUGGCGAAGGCGAGUCUCUGGACAACUCCUGACACUGAGGCACGAAAGCUAGGGGAGCAAACAG